rnacentral:rRNA from 1 species
GACGAACGCUGGCGGCGCGCUUAACACAUGCAAGUCGAACGGAGCGAAUGAAAGCUUGCUUUUAUGAGCUUAGUGGCAAACGGGUGAGUAACACGUAGGCAACCUGCCGACAGGAUGGGGACAACAUUCCGAAAGGAAUGCUAAUACCGAAUGAAGCGGAGGAGAGGCAUCUCCCCUCCGUGAAAGAUGGCCUCUUUUUAUGCUAUCACCUGUCGAUGGGCCUGCGUCUGAUUAGCUGGUAGGUGAGGUAACGGCUCACCUAGGCGACGAUCAGUAGCCGGUCUGAGAGGAUGAACGGCCACAUUGGGACUGAGACACGGCCCAGACUCCUACGGGAGGCAGCAGUGGGGAAUCUUCCGCAAUGGGCGCAAGCCUGACGGAGCAACGCCGCGUGAGUGAAGAAGGUCUUCGGAUCGUAAAGCUCUGUUGAUGGGGACGAACGUGCCUAAUGCGAAUAGUUUUAGGCAAU